ensembl:lncRNA
GUCAGCGCAUGGAGUGCCAAGUGAUCGUUAAAGAUUGCCUGCAAGUCCCUGAACACCAAUUUUUUCCUCCACACAGUCCCUGAAAUUUUGUGAAUAGAGAAUAUCAAUUUGAAUAUUUGGAUAUCAAUAGAGGAUGUCAAUUUAAGGUUAAUCACUUUCAAGGUCCUUAAAAAAUACCAAAUGCCUCUCAGAGUAUUAACAAAAUGCCCGUAGGAAUAUUAACACAUUAACACCUUACUGUGAAUUUGUUUAUGAGAUCACUUUCCUCUGUAAGUGGAGGGAUCUGGGGCACUCUGAAAACACAGAACACCUGGAGAAGGAAGAGGAGGAGGCUUUGAAAGGGGUAAGAAUGGUGGUGAAUUGAUUCUUCUAAUGAACUAAAGGCAGGGGCUUAUUUCUAUAAGUGUUCUGUGUCCCUAUUACUGGAAACUUUCAAGGGAUUUCAGAAAAUCAGGAAUUAAGGGAAAAGAAUAAUCAUUUAUUAAGUACCCAUAUGGUGUGCUUUAUAAAUAUCUUGUUUGAGUCUCACAACUACCCUAGGAGGUGGGUGCUAUUAUUAUCAACAUUUUACACAUAAACAAAUUGAGGAUCACCAGAUUAAUUAACUUGCCCAGGGUCAUCCAGCUAGGAAGGAUCAGAGGUUACAUUGAGCUCUACAUGCCCUGUGCUGUCUAGAGCUGGGGGCUAUUCAGAGACAUCAGAGAUGAUCAGAGGAACUCACAUCAGAGUUGCAGACCUGGACCAGAGAAGGCCCUGUGGUGAGAUGAAGAAAUCAGUGUAGAGAGAAGAAGAUUAAUGGAAGACCUUCUGAAGUCCUGGAUUCUUGGCCCCCCAAUCCACCUUUUUCCCAGAUAUAUUAGCAUUGCCUUCAGAUCACCUACAAGCCUACUUGGAUGUAAGGGAGCCCUUUUCUAUACUGAGCUGAGCUGUGGUGACCCAUAGAGACAACUCUAGUAUUAUAUCCAGAAGGUGAAGAUUGGAGCCCCAUCCAUCAGCUCAAAUGGUUUUGCUAGGAGUGAUGAGUCUCCCUACCUCCCUGAAGGAUCCCACAAUUAAACAGGCAGGGAAAUGUAUUUCAUGAAAUAUGCAUAGAGUUUUUUUUUUCCCUACAAAGCCAUUUAAACUUCCUUGAGCCAACGAUGGAAUGAAUGAUGAGAUGAGCCAUCUCUUACAACACACCAUUGGGCUCUGGACAUUGAUGACCACUGUGGGGCCUCAGGUUGAAUAUCUGCCAAGGCUUGGGGGAAUGGGAAAAUUUCCCUAAAGGAUAAUGGAAUUAUUUCCCUUAGCCAUGAGAUUUUUUUUUGGCUUCCUUAGGGAGGGGAAAAAGGCCUACUGAUUUGUAAUGUGAAUAUAGCUUCUCUCCUCUACCUUGCCAAGGAGUAAGCAAUCGCAUACCAGACCUAGACCUUCCCCUUUGUGACCACCUGAGAGUUUCUGCCCCCCCAUGGCUUCCCUCAGUGUCAGAGGUAGCACUUGGUAAUUGUGCUGUUGGUUUCCGACAGCCCAUUCCUGACUCCCAUGGCUAAUGGCUCCUUGUCAGCAUCAGGGUUGGAGUAAAUUCUUCAUUAUUGGAGGGAUCUGACAUGUAAGAACAACUGGAG